CUUUUAUUGUGAAGGACUUUUUUGAACCUACCCUGCCUCCUGGAUGGAAAUGGAUAUCGUCUUGGACGGUUGACAAAUCUCAGUUUGUUGACAUUGAUGGAUGGGCAUAUGGACUUGAUUUUCAAACCUUGAAGUGGCCACCAAAUUCUUCCAAGUGUAGCACAAAGUCAGCUCACAAUACUGUUCGUCCACCUGAUUUUCAAACCUUGAAAUGGCCACCAAAUUCUUCCAAGUGUAGCACAAAGUCAGCUCACAAUACUGUUCGUCGAAGACGUUGGACUCGUACACGUCAGCAAGUUAAGGAGAGGGGUGCAAAUAACACAGAUCACAUUGUUACUAGUCCUGGUUCUUCG
rnacentral:lncRNA from 1 species